rnacentral:rRNA from 1 species
UGAACGCUAGCUACAGGCUUAACACAUGCAAGUCGAGGGGCAGCAUGGUCUUAGCUUGCUAAGGCCGAUGGCGACCGGCGCACGGGUGAGUAACACGUACUCCAACCUGCCGUCUACUCUUGGACAGCCUUCUGAAAGGAAGAUUAAUACAAGAUGGCAUCAUGAGUCCGCAUGUUCACAUGAUUAAAGGUAUUCCGGUAGACGAUGGGGAUGCGUUCCAUUAGAUAGUAGGCGGGGUAACGGCCCACCUAGUCUUCGAUGGAUAGGGGGUUCUGAGAGGAAGGUCCCCCCACAUUGGAACUGAGACACGGUCCAAACUCCUACGGGAGGCAGCAGUGAGGAAUAUUGGUCAAUGGGCGAGAGCCUGAACCAGCCAAGUAGCGUGAAGGAUGACUGCCCUAUGGGUUGUAAACUUCUUUUAUAAAGGAAUAAAGUCGGGUAUGGAUACCCGUUUGCAUGUACUUUAUGAAUAAGGAUCGGCUAACUCCGUG